CCUCACUAAUAUUUCGUUAGGAGGCACUUCCUCUUGCAUUAUUCACCAAUCUUUCCUUCUAGAUACCUACAUACGCAUGCAUGCAUGAGACGGCCCCACUUGAGCUCCAAAGAGAUCUAGACGGAGAUAGAAAAUCGUAGCUUGAUAGAUUGAGAGAUCUGUAGAGCUGGCAAGAUGAUGCGGUGAUCAAGAAAGAUAGAGAGAGAGAGGGACCUGCUUUGCCCAUGGGUCAAAUGCCGGAGCCGGGCAUGGCGAUUGGAGGGGUUCGCUACGCGUAGGGCAGACAGACGAGUCAGGACUCCGUGCGCUCGUGCGAGGCGAAGGAAGGUAGCUCGCGGAAGGCUGCCGGCAUCUAAAUGGAGAUAUUUGGGAAG
rnacentral:lncRNA from 1 species